rnacentral:rRNA from 1 species
CCUACGGGCGGCAGCAGUGGGGAAUAUUGCACAAUGGGGGAAACCCUGAUGCAGCAACGCCGCGUGAGUGAAGAAGUAUUUCGGUAUGUAAAGCUCUAUCAGCAGGGAAGAAGAUGACGGUACCUGAGUAAUAAGCCCCGGCUAAAUACGUGCCAGCAGCCGCGGUAAUACGUAGGGGGCAAGCGUUAUCCGGAUUUACUGGGUGUAAAGGGAGCGCAAACGGUGAGACAAGUCUGAAGUGAAAGCCCGGGGCUCAACCCCGGGAUUGCUUUGGAAACUGCCUGACUUGAGUGCUGAAGAGGAGAGCGGAAUUCCUAGUGUAGCGGUGAAAUGCGUAGAUAUUAGGAGGAACACCAGUGGCGAAGGCGGCUUACUGGACUGUAAAUGACGCUGAGGCUCGAAAGCGUGGGGAGCAAACAGGAUUAGAUACCCUAGUAGUC